AUUAAUCAAUUUUUUUUUGCUUUCAGCUGGAGCACUGACACAAACAUUCCGCACAAAUGGAGGACCAGUGACGCAAACAAUCUACACAAAAGGAGGAGCACUGACACAAACAAUCUACACAAAAGGUG